rnacentral:tRNA from 1 species
GGGUAUGUAGCUCAGUGAUAGAGCACUUGCUUAGCAUGCAUGAGAGACCCUGAGUUCAUCCCCA